CCUACGGGGGGCAGCAGUGGGGAAUAUUGCACAAUGGGGGAAACCCUGAUGCAGCGACGCCGCGUGAGUGAAGAAGUAUUUCGGUAUGUAAAGCCCUAUCAGCAGGGAAGAAAAUGACGGUACCUGAUUAAGAAGCCCCGGCUAACUACGUGCAAGCAGCCGCGGUAAUACGUAGGGGGCCAGCGUUAUCCGGAGUUACUGGGUGUAAGGGGAGCGUAGGCGGGAGCAGAAGUGCAGAGGGAAAUGCGGGGGCUUAACCCCGGAAGUGCUGUGGAAACUGUGCAUCUAGAGUGGAGGAGAGGUAAGUGGAAGUCCUGGUGUAGCGGUGAAAUGCGUAGAUAUUAGGAAGAACACCAGUGGCGAAGGCGGCUUACUGGACUGUAACUGACGCUGAGGCACGAAAGCGUGGGGAGCGAACAGGAUUAGAUACCCUAGUAGUC
rnacentral:rRNA from 1 species